rnacentral:rRNA from 1 species
AGAGUUUGAUCAUGGCUCAGAACGAACGCUGGCGGCAUGCCUAACACAUGCAAGUCGAACGAAGCCUUCGGGCUUAGUGGCGCACGGGUGCGUAACACGUGGGAAUCUGCCCUUCGGUUCGGAAUAACAGUUAGAAAUGACUGCUAAUACCGGAUGAUGGCGUAAGUCCAAAGAUUUAUCGCCGAAGGAUGAGCCCGCGUAGGAUUAGGUAGUUGGUAGGGUAAUGGCCUACCAAGCCGACGAUCCUUAGCUGGUCUGAGAGGAUGAUCAGCCACACUGGGACUGAGACACGGCCCAGACUCCUACGGGAGGCAGCAGUGGGGAAUAUUGGACAAUGGGCGAAAGCCUGAUCCAGCAAUGCCGCGUGAGUGAUGAAGGCCUUAGGGUUGUAAAGCUCUUUACCAGGGAUGAUAAUGACAGUACCUGGAGAAUAAGCUCCGGCUAACUCCGUG